UUUUCAUUUUUUGUAUGUAUGCCAUUAAACAUAUAGUAAAGGAAAGAAAGCAGAAGGUGACAUUUAUUCCAUUACAUAACAAACCAGGAAAAGGCACAACGCAAACACAAAAUAACAAGCACGCAUAAGCAAACACAAAAUAACAAGCACGCAUAAGCAAACACAAGUUCAUCAUUGUUAUGAUGCAGCAGGAUCAAUGGAUAUCGAUCUAGUUUCGCCGGGAAAGGGCCACAGCAGAGAGCAAGAUCAACAGUAUGAACGCAGCUAUUCCUACAAAGGAUCCAAUCAAAGCGCCAGAGAUGCGCUCGCAGAAAGAGUUGAAUUGUUGGCAGAUAGCAAACCAGUUUGCCCUAGCAUUCCCCUUGUGAGCCAAGUAUACAAUAGCUGCUGCUGCUGCCGCUCCAGCAGUUAAAAAAGCCAUCAUUGCCGCAUCAAAUAUGAUCAAGAUAAUUCUACUGUUUUUUGCUGUGCUUCUUACAAUGUUGAAGAAAGAAAGUGGGAGAGAAAGGAGCAGAUAGCCGCUUACAAUGACAUUGGCAACCACAAAAAACGUGAAUGUUGGAAGAUCAUCAUACUCAGCUCUGAAGCGAACAAACUGCCUUACUUGCUCUAUCAUAUAAACAUAUCAUAAGGGUCUCCACUUUCUUCCAGCUCCACCAAGCCAGCGUCCGUAAUUGGCAAAAGGCUUCUGUUCGAACUUGGCAAAACCCGCACGCGAUAUUAUUCCUAUUUCCAUCCUUGGGGGGGAUCCUGUUUAUAUGGAACUUUCUGGGGUUGAAAGAGGAGAGAAAUUGGAGCAUGUGAUUACAGAGAACCGUCACAGCAUUUCUGCUCGUGACUCCAUUAGCAGGCUGUUUUUGAAAUCUGAAGGAGAACCAAGGUCUUCUACUAUUAUCGUUUGAUCAGACACCGAUGUCGUUCAGCUUUACUUUUGCGCAGCGUAGGGAAAGUUGGGGAAACUUUUUGUACCCUACGGCUUGUCGUGUAUGAGGGAGAAGAAUUGCGGCAUUUUUU
rnacentral:misc_RNA from 1 species